CCUACGGGAGGCAGCAGUGGGGAAUAUUGCACAAUGGGCGCAAGCCUGAUGCAGCGACGCCGCGUGGGGGAUGAAGGCCUUCGGGUUGUAAACCCCUUUCAGCAGGGAAGAAGCGAAAGUGACGGUACCUGCAGAAGAAGCGCCGGCUAACUACGUGCCAGCAGCCGCGGUAAUACGUAGGGCGCAAGCGUUGUCCGGAAUUAUUGGGCGUAAAGAGCUCGUAGGCGGUUUGUCGCGUCUGCUGUGAAAGUCCGAGGCUCAACCUCGGAUCUGCAGUGGGUACGGGCAGACUAGAGUGUGGUAGGGGAGACUGGAAUUCCUGGUGUAGCGGUGGAAUGCGCAGAUAUCAGGAGGAACACCAAUGGCGAAGGCAGGUCUCUGGGCCACAACUGACGCUGAGGAGCGAAAGCAUGGGGAGCGAACAGGAUUAGAUACCCUGGUAGUCCAUGCCGUAAACGGUGGGCACUAGAUGUGGGGCUCUUUACCAUGAGUUCCGCGUCGCAGCUAACGCAUUAAGUGCCCCGCUGGGGAUACGGCCGCAGGCUAAAACGUCAAAGGAUUGACGG
rnacentral:rRNA from 1 species